rnacentral:rRNA from 1 species
UACGGAGGGUGCAAGCGUUAUCCGGAUUUAUUGGGUUUAAAGGGUGCGUAGGCGGAUAUGUAAGUCAGCGGUGAAACUCACAGGCUCAACCUGUGCCGUGCCGUUGAAACUGUGUAUCUGGAAUGCGGAUGCUGUGGGAGGAAUGUGUAGUGUAGCGGUGAAAUGCAUAGAUAUUACACAGAACACCGAUUGCGAAGGCAUCUCACAAAGCCGUUAUUGACGCUGAGGCACGAAAGUGUGGGGAUCAAACA